AGAAGCUGCUUUUCAAAAGCCUCAACCUGUGAUAAUAACUAUGACAUCAAUGAAAGUCUCUGAGUAUAAUGGAAAAUUCAACUAGGAUCUACCAACGCAACGACAAUUGUUAUCAAUCCAGAUAUUGAAGAUCUUGAAAAUUUCAUUAACAGGUUUGGAGUCAUUAGAGGGCGUUCUAAUACAUUCCCAACCACUUCUACAUCUCAAAUAUCUGGAGAGGAAGAACUAAACAGAUUAACCCUUGAAGAACUACUUCAAAAAUCUGCGAAAGAU